CAAGACCUUGCGCUUUUAGAGCGGCCGAUGUCUGAUUAGCUAGUUGGUGAGGUAAAGGCUCACCAAGGCUCCGAU
rnacentral:rRNA from 1 species